GAACAGUUCUGGACCUAAUACAGAUGCCCUGGCCAAUGCGCAAAUGGUAACAUGUGGCUGCUAAUUAUGCAUUGUGUAUCUCAAGGGGCUAUGAAGAGGCUUCUAAAUUCAUUACUUCGUCAUUAGCACAAGUCAAGGAGCUUCAAAAUCAAGAGCCAACUAUGAACAAUCAGUUGGCGUGUUCCAGCGGGAUCAUGAUGGUUGACGGAUCAUAGGACUAUUGAUCAACUUUCUUCACUCAUUCUGGCCAUCUUUACUAAGAGUCCCAAACAUUGUGCUGGAGUUCAUUACUUACCAAUAAGAAGACGAAGAGUUUGUUAUCUUUCUACAUGAUGGGCUGAUGGCUAAGUAAAAGGCAUGGAAAAUCCGGCCACAAAGCAAGGAGUACAAAAUGAAGUAUAUGGUAGCUUUGUUUAUUCAAAUUAUAUCCAGUCAAUUAUACCAAAAGUUUUGCUACGUAUGAUUAGUUUUGUUAAUUAUAGGAAAAACCACAAUUGAUAAAUCAACACUUCACACUACACAAAUUAAGGAGAUAAUUAUCGUAGAUCGUCCCAUCAAUGUAACCAUAGACUUCCUCAAAUACUUCUCUAUUUUUUCCUAAAGAUGACCUCAAAUCCUUAAACAUUAAUGAUUUAGGGUUUUAAACUAAAUGGUUAAA